GGAUUAGAUACCCUGGUAGUCCACGCCGUAAACGAUGGUCACUAGCUGUUUGGACUUCGGUCUGAGUGGCUAAGCGAAAGUGAUAAGUGACCCACCUGGGGAGUACGUUCGCAAGAAUGAAACUCAGAGGAAUUGACGGGGGCCCGCACAAGCGGUGGAGCAUGUGGUUUAAUUCGAUGAUACGCGAGGAACCUUACCAAGGCUUAAAUGCAUAAUGACAGGGAUGGAAACAUCCUUUUCUUCGGACAGAAUGCAAGGUGCUGCAUGGCUGUCGUCAGCUCGUGCUG
rnacentral:rRNA from 1 species